CUGAGAAAAGCUGGGGGAAGGGGAACGAGUGUUCAGUCAGUUGCAUCAGAAUGCCUUGCACAAGACACUCUCCUGGAUAGACACAGCUCUGCCUCCAGCCUCUACCCCACCCUGCUGACCUUGGACCCCAGUGAGAACUGAACCCUUCCAUGGAGCUUGUCCCCAGCCACCUCUGUUUUCCCACAAUUUCCACAGCACAGGCAGUUCUACAAACUUCCGAUCUUUGCCAAAUUGGAAAAAUGGAAGAAGCCACUCCCUCUUCCUGUCAUUCAACAUUUCUUUGGCUCCGGGAUUCCAGAAGUCUGGGCUAGGGAGAUAGCCCGUCCUUCCGUUAGAAGAUAAAAGACUCUGAGGCAGUCUGUCCUACCCUAAGCCGUGGAGCCAUGAGCAGAACCAAUAUGUGGAUACUGGUGUGUCUGGCAGGAAUGGAUAUCAUCUCCAUGGCAACUCCAAGCGUCAAGACUCCUGACUAUGCAGUCGGGGCAGUGAUAAAGGAGCUGAUCCUUGCUGAGUCACCUUCCACACCUACCCUACUCUCUGGACUCCGGCUUCACAUAUUUUGUUCUCACCCUUGAACCUGCCAAGCUCCCCCUGCCUUAGCGCCUCUGCCCUGUGGUCCUAUCUUUCUAGACCUCUCUUCCCAAGA